rnacentral:lncRNA from 1 species
AGGCAGAGGGGCUUGGGAACACAACACUGCUCCCUAAUCUCCCUCACAACCAUGUCUUUGUAAUGAGUAAUCAGGAACAUCGCACUCAGCCAACUGAUUUAGAGUACAAGAAACUACUUUGGUACAAGAGUCCUGUCAUCAUUAUCUUAUCAGUUUAUGGGAAAAGCGAAAAACUGGCACAUAAAGCAACCUACUGAAAAUA